ensembl:lncRNA
GAAAAAUUAACAAAGGAGAGAGGGAGGAAGUAGGUUAAACCUUCUUAAGAAUGCAUCGACUCUGCAGGAAAGUGGGAGAGGUAGGAAGUCACAGACAGCCCUGUUCAAUAAUUAAGAGGACUCAGAGGAAUGAAAGUAUAAGAGCUUUGGGUUCAGCCUGCUAAAAGCUUGUAAGCAUUUCCCAGAGCUGUCUCCAUUUUCAAGACUCCCACAGUUUUAAAGGAACAUUUUCUAUACUCCUCCCUCGCCCCCUCCUUUUCUCCUCUCCCCAUCUCCAACUUCUCUGAAUUAGAAGCCCAGGACACUGUGAGACAUGCCAUAAAGUGGCACAUCUUGCCAAUCCUGAUGAAUGAAAGGCUGGAAAUCCAGCUGUGUGUGAGAAAUCCAGUUGCUUUUAACAAAUUUUCCUUCUAUAAUUUAACGUGGGUCUCAGUACUCUUCCAGCGCAUUAAGCCUUGGUCUCUUUCACCACUUUCCAAGGGCUCAGAAGCAGCCAAUGCCUGCAUUUUCAACCUCCCUUAAACAACUUUGGGGAGAAAUCAGAUUAAAGAUGUAAAGAUGUCAUCACUCUCCUUGGAGAUCAUUUCAAACCUGAGGACAUUCCUUUUUAAUUUAUUAAGUAGCUGUGUUUGAAGGCUUCCCUGGUGGCUCAGCAGCAAAAAAUCUGCCUGCAAUGCAGGGGAGAUGGGUUGGAUUCCUGGAUCAAGAUGAUCCCCUGGAGAAGAAGAUGGCAACCCACUCCAGUGCUCUUGCCUGGGAAAUCCCAUGGACAGAGAAGCCAGAUCUCAUUUUUGGUGUUUGACCCAAGAAAUGUUUGCUUAUUUUAAGGUCACAAAGAUUUUCUCCUGUUUUUCUCUGCAGUUCUCUACCACAGAACCACCUGGGAAGCCCUAAUUGAGGUAAAAAAGAAAGAGAUGCUGGUAAAUCAACUUUAAGUGAUAAUUAAUGAAAUUUGCAGAGUACCUCUUUUAAGACCAUUUCAAGUUGUCAGACACAUUUGGAAUUAAGAAUUACUAUUUAUUUGCAUCAUUUUUUUAAAGUUACCCUACUAAAU